rnacentral:rRNA from 1 species
CCUACGGGUGGCAGCAGUGAGGAAUAUUGGUCAAUGGGCGGGAGCCUGAACCAGCCAAGUCGCGUGAGGGAAGACGGUCCUAUGGAUUGUAAACCUCUUUAGGCGGGGAGCAAUGCCGGGCACGUGUGCCCGGAGGGAGAGUACCCGCAGAAUAAGCAUCGGCUAACUCCGUGCCAGCAGCCGCGGUAAUACGGAGGAUGCGAGCGUUAUCCGGAUUUAUUGGGUUAAAGGGGUGCGUAGGCGGAAGGUUAAGUCAGCGGUAAAAUGUCGGUGCUCAACACCGGCCUGCCGUUGAAACUGGUCGUCUUGAGUGAGCGAGAGGUAUGCGGAAUGCGUGGUGUAGCGGUGAAAUGCAUAGAUAUCACGCAGAACUCCGAUUGCGAAGGCAGCAUACCGGCGCUCAACUGACGCUGAGGCACGAAAGCGUGGGGAUCGAACAGGAUUAGAUACCCUGGUAGUC